rnacentral:rRNA from 1 species
CCUACGGGUGGCAGCAGUGAGGAAUAUUGGUCAAUGGGCGGAAGCCUGAACCAGCCAAGUAGCGUGCAGGAUGACGGCCCUACGGGUUGUAAACUGCUUUUAUACGGGAAUAACGCGCCUUACGUGUAGCGCUUUGCAUGUACCGUAUGAAUACGGACCGGAUAAUUCCGUGCCAGCAGCCGCGGUAAUACGGAAGGUCCGGGCGUUAUCCGGAUUUAUUGGGUUUAAAGGGUGCGUAGUCCGCAUGUCAAGCGUGCUGUGAAAUGUCCGGGCUCAACCCGGGCCUUGCAGCGCGAACUGGCGUGCUGGAGUCCGCGGAAAGCAGGCGGAAUUCGUCGUGUAGCGGUGAAAUGCUUAGAUAUGACGAAGAACCCCGAUUGCGAAGGCAGCUUGCUGCAGCGGAACUGACGCUGAUGCUCGAAAGCGCGGGUAUCGAACAGGAUUAGAUACCCGUGUAGUC